rnacentral:tRNA from 1 species
CCGCUUGUAGCUCAGUGGAUAGAGCGUUACGCUCCGACCGUAUAUGCAUGGGUUCAAUUCCCAUCAAGCGGA